rnacentral:rRNA from 1 species
AUUGAACGCUGGCGGCAGGCUUAACACAUGCAAGUCGAGCGGUAGCACAGAGAGCUUGCUCUUGGGUGACAAGCGGCGGACGGGUGAGUAACGCGUAGGAAUCUACCUAGUAGUGGGGGACAACAGUUGGAAACGACUGCUAAUACCGCAUACGCCCUAAGGGGGAAAGCGGGGGAUCUUCGGACCUCGUGCUAUUAGAUGAGCCUGCGUGAGAUUAGCUAGUUGGUGAGGUAAAGGCUCACCAAGGCGACGAUCUCUAGCUGGUCUGAGAGGAUGAUCAGCCACACUGGGACUGAGACACGGCCCAGACUCCUACGGGAGGCAGCAGUGGGGAAUAUUGGACAAUGGGCGCAAGCCUGAUCCAGCCAUGCCGCGUGUGUGAAGAAGGCCUUCGGGUUGUAAAGCACUUUCAGAAGGGAGGAAAGGUUGUGUGUUAAUAGCACAUAGCUGUGACGUUACCUUCAGAAGAAGCACCGCUAACU